rnacentral:rRNA from 1 species
CCUACGGGUGGCAGCAGUGGGGAAUAUUGGACAAUGGGGGGAACCCUGAUCCAGCGACGCCGCGUGAGUGAAGAAGUAUUUCGGUAUGUAAAGCUCUAUCAGCAGGGAAGAAAGAAAUGACGGUACCUGACUCAGAAGCCCCGGCUAACUACGUGCCAGCAGCCGCGGUAAUACGUAGGGGGCAAGCGUUAUCCGGAUUUACUGGGUGUAAAGGGAGCGUAGACGGCGAUGCAAGUCUGAAGUGAAAGGGGGGGGGCCAACCCCCGGACUGCUUUGGAAACUGUAUGGCUGGAGUGCAGGAGAGGGAAGUGGAAUUCCGAGUGUAGCGGUGAAAUGCGUAGAUAUUAGGAGGAACACCAGUGGCGAAGGCGGCUUACUGGACUGUAACUGACGUUGAGGCUCGAAAGCGUGGGGAGCAAACAGGAUUAGAUACCCUAGUAGUC